AUUCAGCCUUCAAGCAUCCAUACGGCUGGGAAGUGAGAAAGGCAAACAAAUCGUCGGCUGAAGAGCGAAAGAAGAAAAAAAAGCAGAGUUCGUCGACAGAGAGGGAGCCGUUGCCGGCAUCGCCAGCCGUCGCCACCGCCAGCCGCCGCUAGCCAUCGCCAUCGCCAGCUGCCGCUAGCCAUCGCCAUCGCCAGCCGCCGCUAGCCGUCGCCAUCGCCAAUCGCUGGACGGGGGGGAGGGAGAGGGCCGCGCAAGAUCGCCUCCGCCACCACGCACGCUGGUCGGGCAGAUUGUCACCAGUAGCCGACACCAUGAGUCGUCCGCCGCCCGCCCCAGCUACUCCGGUCGCGAAGCAGCGCCACCGCCACCAAAACAGGAAAUCUAUAAUCAGAGAAUAGAGGCAAGGAGAAUGGGAGAGCAUUCUUAUUCAUGAUCAUUGUAUCUUUACAAGUGGGAAAACCCCAAUAUAUAUAAUGUACAAGUAAUAAUAACAAUACUAAGUAUGGUGACCGUUACAACGGUUACACAAAUAAUGGCCACAUAAAUAUAUUUAUUAUAACAAAAAGUAAAAAAAUUAUUUUUACGUUUAGUGAAAUCUUAGAUUGCUUAAAAUUAA